UACGUAGGGUGCGAGCGUUGUUCGGAAUUACUGGGCGUAAAGGGCUCGUAGGUGGCCAACUAAGUCAGACGUGAAAUCCCUCAGCUUAACUGGGGAACUGCGUCUGAUACUGGAUGGCUUGAGUUUGGGAGAGGGAUGCGGAAUUCCAGGUGUAGCGGUGAAAUGCGUAGAUAUCUGGAGGAACACCGGUGGCGAAGGCGGCAUCCUGGACCAACACUGACACUGAUGAGCGAAAGCCAGGGGAGCAAACGGG
rnacentral:rRNA from 1 species